rnacentral:rRNA from 1 species
UACAGAGGGUGCGAGCGUUGUUCGGAAUUAUUGGGCGUAAAGGGUGUGUAGGCGGGCGAUUAAGUCAGGGGUGAAAUCCCGGAGCUCAACUCCGGAACUGCCUUUGAUACUAGUCGUCUUGAAUGUUGUGGAGGUGGGCGGAACGGGUCAUGUAGCGGUGAAAUGCAUAGAUAUGACCCGGAACACCGAUUGCGAAGGCAGCCCGCUGCGCAACUAUUGACGCUGAGGCACGAAAGCGUGGGGAGCAAACAGG